AGCUCAAAUUUGAAAUCUGGCGUGCUCAGUGCGUCCGAGUUGUAAUCUAUAGAGUCGUUUUCCGUGCCGGACUGUGUCCAAGUCCCUUGGAACAGGGUAUCAAAGAGGGUGAUAAUCCCGUACUUGACACAAUGACCGGUGCUCUGUGAUACGUCUUCUACGAGUCGAGUUGUUUGGGAAUGCAGCUCAAAAUGGGUGGUGAGUUCCAUCUAAAGCUAAAUAUUGGCGAGAGACCGAUAGCGAACAAGUACCGUGAGGGAAAGAUGAAAAGCACUUUGGAAAGAGAGUUAAACAGUACGUGAAAUUGUUAAAAGGGAAACGAUUGAAGUCAGUCGUGACUGAGAGGCUCAGCCGGUUCUGCCGGUGUAUUCCCCUCAGUCGGGUCAACAUCAGUUUUGUUCGGUGGAUAAGGGCAGUUGGAAGGUGGCACCCUCGGGUGUGUUAUAGCCAGCUGUCGCAUACAUCGGAUGAGACUGAGGAAUGCAGCUCGCCUUUAUGGCCGGGGUUCGCCCACGUUCGAGCUUAGGAUGUUGACAUAAUGGCUUUAAACGACCCGUCUGAAACACGG
rnacentral:rRNA from 1 species